UUCUGAGCUUUGGGGCUAACAUUCACUUAUCAGUGACUGCAUACUGAAAGACCCCUGCUGUGGGGAGACCCUCCCUCAAGUCUCAGGAUGAUGCGACCCCCCAAGAACUCAUGAGAGCCC
rnacentral:pre_miRNA from 14 species